GGUGUGUGCCGUUCGCCAGAGAAAUCAAACGGGACGCUUCAGGCGACUGUUCGAAGUGGUCCUCUACGGUGAAACGAAGAAUCAAGCACGUGGUGGCCGUUAUUCGUGAAGUGGGUCCAAAAAAUUGGUGAGAUUUAAAGAAAUCUCACGAGAUUCCCAGGUGAUCUCGGAUCCAGUCGUCGUAGAUGACAUGGUGUCCUCGUUUGACGACUGCAGGUCGUCGGAGGUGAUGGGUUUCACCAGGAAGUUCAAGGGAGAUGCCAGAGAAAGACGGCAGGCGGUCUGGCACUUGAUGAGACGACAGAGACGACAGCAAAACGCCGUUAUGUUUAAUUCGGCGUCUAGGUUUUGGACACGGUUCACAAAUUGGCUUGGCUUGGCGGCUAGGGUCUAAUUGUUGUCCGAGUACCGUGUGAUAUGAAAAAUAAAUGGCUGUGAAAAAUUUAAAGCUACGGAAUACCUAUGCCGGACCCAAGCAAGAAAGCCGUAACCUGGGCGACUCCCUCGGCUCUCGCUCCUGCUCCUGGAGCGUGAAUCGGCAUCGGUGCUUCAUAUUGAUCCCUCCUAAUUCACAAUUGUUCAUUUUGGUGUGGAGUCUUCUGUGUUAAUUUGGUAGCGACCAUAGCAUGCCGGAUUUCUGGGGGAUCGCAAUAAAUUUGGUGUAGGAGAUGAGGCUAUAAAAUGUAAUAUGGAGGUUUUACCACUUUUUUCGCCCCUGGAUGAAGCAGAUAUCGACCUCCGAGUUUACCGGAACGUACUUUACUUUGUUGGUACUCGGUUGGGCUGCUGCCAGAAGCCGCAUUUAGGAGUCCCGUGCUACUUGCAGACUCACCCUCUCAUUCAAAUUUCUCCAAAAUCAAGCUCUUAAAGGAAGAGUAAGGAAUUAACACACCCUUGUAUUUGGAAAAUUAUGAUACUGAAAUAACCUAUAAAUUCGAGGAAAAGAAUAGCAAAAUGCUGUUUUCCCCACCUCCCUACCUCUCUUCCACCUUACCCUUUCCCAUUGCCCACCAGAAAAUGAGUUGAUUCCUUGCGAAAUAUUUUUGCAAGGACUUCGGCCUGAACCCUGAUGUACAAUAUUGGAAUUCCAACCAUUUGCAUGCAGCCGGACUUUCUCUUUAUGAAAAAAUGCCAUAAUCAAUCCCCUUUCCUCUUGGAAUUUGCAUAACCAUUUCACCAGAAACACAGCUCGUUCUCUUUACAUGGAGUAGUAUAUUGAUGGCUGAUAGGUCGCCAUUGACCAUGCUUUGGAACUUAUACUAACGUGAACAAGCAUUCCUUUAUACUUUAAACUUGACUGUAAACAUAACAAUCUCUCAAAAAUCAUUGUUUUGGUUUUUCCUAUAGUUUGGGGCAUUAAAUAACACUUUUUAUACGUAAUUCUCUUAGAAGAGUUUUUAUACUAUACAUUUGCUUUGCCUAUUCUUAAAAACAAGUCAUCCUACAAAAGCGAAUUAUUUAUUUUCUAGUCAUACAAGAAAGACAAUUGAGUUAUUUUAAAUAACCACAACGACCUCCUUGUGUUCCUCUUUCUUCGUUUCAAUAGUACAGUCUCUUUAUAAAAAUAAAGAAGGUUAUUUAAGGCCCAUAAUACUGCCUCUCACCCUGAAAAACCAUUAACUCGAAAAGUAAGGCUCAUAAAAUUCAUUUCAUAAUUCUCUAUCUCACACCAUUGUCUUCUUUUCCUCUGAGAAUUAACCUCUACUCUUUCCCCUCUCCCCAGUGCCCGGUUGUUUACUUAUCUAAUGUAAACUUGGGCGCAUGACCAUGUCCUCCAUUUUGGACCACACUUGAGAAAAGAACUUUUAAAAUAUCCAGAUAUUUUGGUCUACAUUUAUUGAAGCUAAAAUUCAAUUGGCAUUUAUAAAAAUUUCAGGGGAAGUAGGGCAUUUUGCUUGGGUUUCCGUCAAUAUUGGAAGUCACAAUAAUCUCUGCAGUUAGAAGGAAAUACCAUCUUCUUAUUGAAAAAAAAGUGUAUAUAUAUAUGUAUAUAUAUAUUUAUAUUUAUAUAUCCUUCAAUCCCUUAGGAUGUCUAAAAUUUUGAAAAUUUGAUUGCAUUUUGUUAUUCCUGUCCAAAUCUUAGAUGUUGUUCUCCCGUCUGUUGUUUGAACAAAGCAUUAUAUGUCGAUCAACUGUAUUUGGAUAAGCUCAGCUGAUUAUUUAUUUUCUUCUUUUAGUGUGCUUUACUAAGCAAUAUCAUUGCUAUCAUAGAGGAAUAGAAACUUGACUCAGUAGAUUCAAAUUCCCGGUGAAACAAUAUUUCUGAAGGGAAGUUCAUGGUUUAAUGGAAGUGGAAAAAUUUAGUUCAUGUCCUGAAUCCUGAUACAUGUUUUAGGAAGAAAAACCAAAAGUUUUCUUUCCUGAGGGAUGUUAAAUUUUUUGAACUUCUGUUCUUUCAAUACUAUGAUUUGAAAUACCAUUUGUUUGCAAUGAAAUAUGGAUAAACCAUGGUUUUGCUUCCUGCCCUUUAGGAUAUUUUAUUAAAGGGAAUUUCCAUCUUGGUCUGAAAUUGGUUAUCAAACUUCAAGUUUUAAGUAUUGCUUGUAAUAGCUUUAUAAUAAUAAUUGUCCCUUCAUAGUUUUUACUUUUUAUUGAUUUUUCUGAACACAACUAAUAUAUGAGGUUACCUGUCAUUAUAAAUUCAUCCAGUGGAGGAGGAUCAACUAUAGUUACUUCAGUUGUUCAUUGUAGAUCUCUUGCACAGGUAUUAAUCAUGUUCCGACCGAGUUAAAUGACUAACCUCCUGCGAAUUUUGUUUUAAAUUACAUAUUGAGAGAGCUUCUGCAAGUAUUAUGAAAGGGUACAAAAUUGAGGCGGGAAGAUGUGCUGUUUAAUUGUCACAUUCUGCAUCAGAUGGAGAUGGAGGUUGAGUUGUAGAGUUUGAGGACGGGGUAUAUUGCCCUGUUGUAAACACUGCCAUUCUGCAAGUUUUGGUUAACCCGAAGCAGACCAAAAACUAAAUGAUAUGACUUGUUUAGGGCAUGAAAAAGUUGGAUGCUGUUGUUUGCAUAUGUUUGAAUUAAAAUAGAUAGUAAUAGUUUGAAAUUGUAUUCAAAACUUGCAGAAAGUUUCUCAGGUAAACUGCCGAAUACCCUUGUACCUGAGGAAAAUUGCCACUGUCUCAUCCGUAAAUGCCUUUUAAAACACUGGUAUACGCUCGCAUGAUCCCAAAGUAUAAAUAUUGUUUCUUUCUUCAAUAAAAGGUAUAUAUAUAGACUUUGGGAUCCCUAAGCGGAAGGAGUGGUUGUUUAUAAAUUGUGAAUCUAUUUGAUUGUUCUUA